rnacentral:rRNA from 1 species
GACGAACGCUGGCGGCGUGCUUAACACAUGCAAGUCGAACGGAAAGACCCUGCUUUUGUGGGGUGCUCGAGUGGCGAACGGGUGAGUAACACGUGAGUAACCUGCCCUUGACUUUGGGAUAACUUCAGGAAACUGGGGCUAAUACCGGAUAGGAGCUCCUGCUGCAUGGUGGGGGUUGGAAAGUUUCGGCGGUUGGGGAUGGACUCGCGGCUUAUCAGCUUGUUGGUGGGGUAGUGGCUUACCAAGGCUUUGACGGGUAGCCGGCCUGAGAGGGUGACCGGCACAAUGGGGACGGAGAUACGGCCCGGACUCCUAGGGGGGGCAGCAGUGGGGAAUAUUGCACAAGGGGCGGAGGCCUGAUGCAGAAACGCCGCGUGGGGGAUGACGGCCUUCGGGUUGUAAACCGCUUUCGCCUGUGACGAGGCGUGGGUGACGGUAAUGGGUAAGAAAGCACCGGCUAACUACGU